AUACGGAGGAUCCGAGCGUUAUCCGGAUUUAUUGGGUUUAAAGGGUGCGCAGGCGGGAGAUUAAGUCGGCGGUGAAAUUUUGCAGCUCAACUGUAAAAGGGUCUUCGAAACUGGUUUCCUUGAGUGUAGAUGAAGUAGGCGGAAUUUGUGGGGUAGCGGUGAAAUGCAUAGAUAUCACGAGGAACUCCGAUUGCGCAGGCAGCUUACUAAACUACUACUGACGCUCAGGCACGAAGGCGUGGGGAUCAAACAGGAUUAGAUACCCUGGUAGUCCACGCAGUAAACGAUGAUUACUAGCUGUUUGCGAUACAAUGUAAGCGGCUGAGCGAAAGCGUUAAGUAAUCCACCUGGGGAGUACGUUCGCAAGAAUGAAACUCAAAUGAAUUGACGGGG
rnacentral:rRNA from 1 species